rnacentral:rRNA from 1 species
GACGAACGCUGGCGGCGUGCUUAACACAUGCAAGUCGAACGAAGUGGCGAACGGGUGAGUAACGCGUAAUCAACCUGCCCUUCAGCGGGGGACAACAGUUGGAAACGAAUGCUAAUACCGCAUACUGAAGGUGGGGAUUGCGUCUGAUUAGCUAGUUGGGGGGGUAACGGCGCACCAAGGCGAUGAUCGGUAGGCGGGCUGAGAUGGUGGACGGGCAAAUCGGGACUUGAGCCAGGGCCAGGCUCCAUCGGGAGGGAGGAAUGGGGGAACUGCCGAAAUGGGCGGAAGGCUGACGGAGCAACGCCGGGUUGGUGGUGACGGCCUUCGGGUUGUAAAGCUCUGUUAAUCGGGGCGCGGUACCUGAAGAGAAAGCCACGGCUAACUACGUGCCAGCAGCCGCGGUAAUAC